AAAGUACCCCGGGAGGGGAGUGAAAUAGUACCUGAAACCGUUGGCUUACAAGCAGUCAGAGCGUCGUCAUGCCUUCGGGCAUGGCCGUGAUGGCGUGCCUUUUGAAGAAUGAGCCGGCGAGUUACCGUCAGUGGCAAGGUUAACCUGUGAAGGGGAGCCGGAGCGAAAGCGAGUCUGAAUAGGGCGUCCAGUCGCUGGUGGUAGACCCGAAGCCGAGUGAGCUAUCCAUGGGCAGGCUGAAGCGAGGGUAAGACCUCGUGAAGGGCCGAACCCACCAUGGUUGAAAACAUGGGGGAUGACCUGUGGAUAGGGGUGAAAGGCCAAGCAAACUCGGUGAUAGCUGGUUCUCCCCGAAAUGCAUUUAGGUGCAGCGUCGCGUGUUCAGUACCGGAGGUAGAGCACUGGAUGGUCUAGGGGGCCUACAAGCUUACCGAAAUCAGCCAAACUCCGAAUGCCGAUACUCCACAGCGCGGCAGUGAGACCAUGGGGGAUAAGCUUCAUGGUCGAGAGGGAAACAGCCCAGAACGCCAACUAAGGCCCCAAAUUCGAUGCUAAGUGGUAAAGGAUGUGAGAUUGCCCAGACAGCCAGGAGGUUGGCUUAGAAGCAGCCACCCUUGAAAGAGUGCGUAAUAGCUCACUGGUCGAGUGAUCUCGCGCCGACAAUGUAACGGGGCUCAAGCAUCGAGCCGAAGUUGCGUCAUACAGCGCAAGCUGGAUGGGUAGGGGAGCGUCGAUCUUGCAGCGAAGCUUCCGUGUAAACGGUGGUGGAGCGGGGUCGAGUGCGAAUGCCGGCAUGAGUAGCGAAAGAGGGGGGAAGAACCCCUCCGCCGAAUGCCCAAGGGUUCCUGGGGAAGGCUCAUCCGCCCAGGGUUAGUCGGGAGCUAAGGCGAGGCCGCAAGGCGUAGUCGAUGCACAACAGGUUGAUAUUCCUGUACCACCAAGUCCGCGCCCAAUCCAAGAUCGGGUUGCUAAGGGGCUGGCCUUCGGGCCGAACCGACCCACCCGGUGGCGGGUAGCGAUGGGGGGACGCAGGAGGGUAGGUCAACCCUGGCGUUGGUUGUCCAGGGGUAAGCGUGUAGGGGGGUCGGUAGGCAAAUCCGCCGGCCACAUACCCUGAGACGCGAUGCCGAGCCGCUUCAGGCGAAGUGACUGAUCCCAUGCUGCCGAGAAAAGCCUCUAGCGAGUGGACUGGGUGCCCGUACCCCAAACCGACUCAGGUGGGCAAGUAGAGAAUACUAAGGCGAUCGAGAUAACUCUGGUUAAGGAACUCGGCAAAUUACCCCCGUAACUUCGGAAGAAGGGGGGCCUUGUCUGGUGAAGGGACUUGCUCCCCGAGCUGGACGGGGCCGCAGAGACCAGGGCCAAGCGACUGUUUACUAAAAACACAGGAGCGUGCGAAGUCGCAAGACGAUGUAUACGCUCUGACGCCUGCCCGGUGCCGGAAGGUUACGGGGAAGGGUUAGUCCGCAAGGGCGAAGCUCUGAACCUAAGCCCCGGUAAACGGCGGCCGUAACUAUAACGGUCCUAAGGUAGCGAAAUUCCUUGUCGGGUAAGUUCCGACCUGCACGAAUGGCGUAACGACUUGGCUACUGUCUCAACCAGAGACUCGGCGAAAUUGCAAUACGAGUAAAGAUGCUCGUUACCCGCAUCAGGACGGAA
rnacentral:rRNA from 1 species